rnacentral:tRNA from 1 species
GGGGUUGUGGCUCUGGGGUAGAGCACUUGCCUAGCAUGUGUGAGGCACUGGGUCCGAUCCCCAGCACCACA